CUUAUCUCUCAUAGCAUUGAUUCAUAUUGUACAGUAGUUUUUGAUCUUAUUUAUGUGGCUUUUCCAGUGAGCCUUCAAAUUGCUCAAAUGACUAAGCAUGCUUUUUGAGUAAUUGUGAAGGGAACAGGAAGAGACAAUAUAUGUGUUUGGAAAUUUCAAACAAUCUGUGAGUCUGUACUACACCUGCAGCAUCAGAGCAAGAGAGUAUUAUGAACUGAAAACUGUCAAAACUUCCCUCUUGCUCCCAUGUUCACCAUCUCUCAUAGAGCACACCUGUAGAUUGUUGGCAGGUACUUUGUUGCAGUCACUGAAAUUGUCAAUUUGAGAAUGAAUGUUAUGCCUUUGUGUUUCAUACGAGCUUUGAAAUAUUUGGGAAUUUUUCAGAACAUGAACACAUUGUGUUCAUAUACUAAAUAAAUUCUCUAGGUCACAUUAAAAUACUGUUAAAUUUUAAUCAAUACCAGAAGUUAGGCUCCAUCUGCUACAAAAGCACAAACUCAUUAAAAACAUUUUUAAAAUAAUAGUGUUUAUUUUCCUUGUCCUCGAGACAUUUUCUUUUUAUUUGGGAUCAGGCUACUUUUGACAUUGGCAGCUUAGUUGGAUGUGUAUUGAUUGAUUUGAGCAUGUUGUUUCCAUUGCCAUAAUCAUUAUGAGUGGUGAGUCUCUAUUACCUGGCUAUAUCUUGCACCAGUUCUGAACACUAUAUAAAAGAGAACUAGGUGGAUAUAUAUUUGCUGCUUUUUAGGGACUCAUUUCAGUUUUCAGGCACUAUAACCUGAUUCAAGCAUAUUUAUAGAGCACCUUUAGGACAAGAAUGAGAAUAUUAAACCUGGCUAUGAAUGGACAGUGAAAUAGUUUAUAGCAGCUUUAGAAUAUUAGUUUUUUCUAGCAAAUGAAAACAGAGAUCUAAAGCUAAAUACAUUAGGCUGUGAAUACAUUAGACUGUACUUUUAAUUGAAUUAAUUUUCAUCUAAAUUUAACAGUGUCAAGUCAUCUCCAGUGAACUUCAGAAUUCAAACUAGAGAAAUCGAAUAAAUGAAUUCAUUAUGAAAUUGAAUGGCAUGAGCUGAACUUGGGCCUAUAAAUCCAGAACUUUAGAGUUUUAACCUGUCUUUAGCAUAAUCUCUUCAUGGCCUUGGGCAAGUUCUUCAUAAAAACAGAAAACAGACAAUCAAAAUGAGAAUGACAAAGGUGUAGAGAUCUAGCUUUUAAAGCGUUUGGAUCUGAGAAGAGCCUCCUAAGUGGCUGUUUUUCCUAGCUCUUUAGCAAUUCAGUUUUAAACCC
rnacentral:lncRNA from 1 species